CAUGACCUCUUUGCUGAGUGAGGACGAAGAGCGAUAUGUCUCCUCACCUGAGAGUGGCAAUAGAGAGAUGAGACACAGACCCCACUCAGCACCACUGAGAUCUGUGUUUGGAAUUUCUGAGGACUCUGUCUUCAACAUGGUCCAGAGCGGCCAGUCGCAGAGUGACAUCGUACUGCCGUCCAGUCGGAGUAGACGGGAGAAAUACAGACCUGUCAAAAUACCAACGGACACCAGGUGUAUGAUGGGUAUUGUAGAGUUGGUUACGAACCUUCUCAACUCCAGAUUGGCUGAGCUAAUGCAAAGUUUCAGUCAGGGAACUCUAGUUCCGCUGUCUGGUAGUAUCUCAGCAAGUCAGCAGUUUGCCCAAGAGAUGCUAAGCAUGGUGUCUGCUAAGAUGUAUGCCCAUGCCAUAGAGCAUAUUGCGCACGGCCACAAGUCUACCCUUGAGUUAGUGAGGGAGCUUGAGGCCAUAUUGGGUCCUCUGGCUGGACAGGUUAUAGUCAUCAUCAUAGAUAGCAUCUUCAAGGCUAAAGCCAAUGGAGGAAACAAGGGGUGAGCGACCAGCCCCUUGACCUAUUUUCUCACUGCCAUUUCGGCAGAAAUACAAAGCCUAGUUGCUCAGAGAUUGGCUAGCAGACCGUCCACCAGACUGUCCAACAACGACCCACUGCUGAACAUUUCCAAGUCAAAGGUCUUAAGAUAAAUUCUACUCAAAAUGGCAGAACUCUUUGGCCAAGGUUCAAGUGAAACCUGUCUAGUUCCACUAGUCCAGAGUCAGUCCAACAACUCUAUUUGCGACUGGACUCUAAAUGCAGGCACCAUUCAUCCAAGUAAAUUUCUGUCUGACAACAGAAUGACAGAAGUGUCAUCCAAUGUUGUGGAUCUUGUACUUGAGGUUUUUGAGAUAACCGGAUUUUUGGAUAGCAGGAGCCCGUCAAGGCAACAGAGUGCCUGCUCCUACAACUCAGCUAGUGGAGCAAUAGAUAUGAGAGCUCUUGCUGGGGACAAAGGGACUCAGACCCUUUGUCUCUGAGAGUCAACUCUCCACCAUGUCCAUGACAGAUCAGUCAUCAUCUAUUUCUGACUUCACCUUGAAGCAGUUGUGUUGAAGCUCUGCUGUUGCUGCAGCAACUGUCUGUCAAGCAAUUAAAACAGAGCUUGAGAGCCAGAGACCUACCAACCUGUCAGCCAGAUACCUACUAUCAUCUCUGGUAGAGAACAUUGAGGACAUGGAUAUCUCUGACAUCCUCCAGGGCCCGUCGGCCAUUUUGGAGGAGGCUGCUAUUAUUAAGCACCCAGAGAUGUCCACCUCGACAAUAUACAGGUCUCUGCUUCUCGACUCAUCUCUCGUCUCCUCUAACAUGGUCACUGAGAGCAUUAUCUUCAACAGCCCUUGCCCAUCAGAGGAGAAUGUGAGUAUUCAGAAGGUGCUAAAGGUGUUAAAGUUCACAUCCUCCAUGGUCAACCAGUGGAGUAUAUCGUCAAAGCUAAGCAAUGCAUAACUCAGGUCAUUCAGGAUGCAUAUGUGACAUAUACUGGCGUGCUGGAUAAAACUGUGGGAAACUGUCGGAAAUUCUCUCUGUCUGUUUUUCCGCAGAGAAUAUUGCGGAGGCAUCCUCUGAUCUAUUUGGUGGAAUUAUUUCCGACCUGCAUGAGGUAUCUGAGGUCAAUAAGGCCCCCAUGCUCACAAAAUCAGGUCGCAAAAUGUUCUGGGUGGAAGUGAGUUAAGGUUCCCAGAAGAUUUAUACCAAAACCGUGGACAAACUAAGGAAGCUUUUCACCUCUCACCUUCUCACUGAGGGAAAAAAUACUCUUGUGCAAAUCGAGCUCUAUGACACUGGACUACUUGUAACUGAGACCACUGUGGAGGUAUCUCCUGUACAGAAGACAGACAGUAAUACCUCUUCAAUGUCCUCAGCCUCAGCCCACCAGCUCACCCUCGACACCUGCACUAAAGGGGUCAUCAAACAGGUGAUCUCGGUGCUGAGGGUGGAGACUUCAAAGGAAGACUGCUUCGCUUCCGUUGGUGAGAGCACGUCAAAUCCAUCCUUCGACUUCAUCCAGAAGUUGGACUCGAUCAUUUCGAAAUUGGAGGACCUCACCAUUUCGAGUGACGUGACAUCAGCCGAGAUUGCCACACUCACGCGAUCUCGUAGUGCAGCCAGCAGAACCUCUAACAUUUCCAUCCAGAGCUUUCACAGUGCUGAGUUCCGAGCUACAGCCAAACAGAUUGUGCGUGAGGCCAUUCUCAGAGCUGCCUGCGAAGCCAACUGUUCUUUGCCAUAGAGCAUGCCUAGCAUCACCUUCUCACACCAUGUGGUUUCUACAACUGAAGAUAUAGUGAAUAUGAUCAUGCAAGACAUUGAAUGUGUAUCCCCGUACAAAGUGGAGGACGCAGACUCCUUCCCACUAGGAGAGAAAAAGCUGCAGUCCCAGCUCAAACCCAGAGUUGUCUUUGCCACCUUAUUCGAUGCUGCUCAAACCAUGUACCACAGAGUAAAGAAUAGAACGUCUUUUUGUAUUUUCCACCCGUGUCAGUCACCACAGCCAAAGAUGUGCUGGACUCCUCCCCUGUGGAGACACUCAGAUGUUCGAAGUCUCCGGACACUGCUCUUGUUAAGGACAGGAGCCGCCCUCCGUCUGUGAGAAAUGAGAAGCUAUUUUCAAAAGUCAGUUUGACGAAAAGGUCUAAAGCCCUUGUGUCUUCGAGUGGCUCCUCCACAGUCCACCAUGUAAUUGACACAUACAGUGAGGAUGUCACUCUGCCCACCAGGAGUAUGUCAGUUGUGAGAAACACCAGUUUGAAGAGAGCCUCUCCUCUCCAUGGUAGUGGAUUUAGUGAAAAUUGUGAACCUCUUGUGGCUUUACAAGAUGGAAUAGUGGCAGUCAGCCUGGCAACCUGAUCGCAAAGGUCUAUGGUCUCAUUCAGGAGAUAACCAUAAGCCGCCAGCUUCAAUCCAUGACAGGCCACAGAAGCCUCUCUCAACCAGCACUGCCAAAACCAGCACUGAGGAAGCUGUCGAAGGACGAUGCGUAAGAGCUCGUUUACAGCUUUGCCCAGACUUCUGUUAGCAGACUCCUGGGGCAGUGUUUGGGUAGGCCUAUGCCACCCACCACUGACAGGGUUUUGGAUCAGGUCAUCAAGUUGAUGACAGACAAAAAAAGGCAUGAAUAUUGUUUUUCUGCUUUUCUGAUCUUAAACCUUAAACCGCCUGACUGAUCUGUCCAAGUCUGCAAUGGAGGAUGAUAAGUGAAAGUACCUCUUCAUCUGCAUAGGACUUCAUUGUAACAUGAUGCUCACUACAUUGCGUUUUAUGAUGUGAACUUUGCUGGUUGCGUCCAUAAUGGCACCUUCUUCCACAUUUAGUGCACUACUUGACCAGAGCCAGACCCUAUGGGCCCUGUUCAAAAGUUGUGCACUAUAAAGGGAAGAGAAUGCCUUUUGGGACACAGCGACUGAUUUCCAUUGUUGCACCCUCUUCUCCCAGUUAUUGUAUGCAGGUCGGUCACACCAGCUUGCUCUUCUUACUUAGACACCAGCAAUGCCGCAAGUGACAUCACUCAUGGUGCUGUGGCUGACCUUAAUGCUACUGAAGAAUUCCCUGCCAGGGGCCUUAGCCCCGCUGAUGUAAAGGCUGACAGCAUGGCCCGCCUUCCCUCUGCCAGAGGGGAAGAGACUAAGAAGAACAGGAAGUGGUGCUUCCUACCCAAAAUUGGCAAGAUUCCAAAGAUCAAGAUGAAGAUGGUGAGGCUGCUUCUCUCCAGAGGAGCCAACAUCAACGCUUUUGACAAGAAGGACCGCCGAGCAAUCCACUGAGCUGCUUACAUGGGUGGUGAAACUGCUGGCCUCUCAUGGGUCAGAGGUGUCCUGUAAAGACAAGAAGGCCUACACCCCUCUACACUCUGCAGCCUCCAGUGGCAUGAUCAGUGUGGUUAAGUAACUCCUGGACCUUGGGGUGGAAUUUAUACAUACACCUCCCGCAUUCAACUGUGUAGUCACUGUUCAAUUACAACUCCACGAAAAGACAGAGCUCUAGUGUGGUGGAGAAUGAUUUCCUUUCAAGUAAUGAAGAGAUGGAGGUUUGGCCAGGGGGUUGGGACCAGUGUGUUAGGGCCAGGGGGUUUUCAUAAACAAGUAAUGAAGAGAUGGAGAUUGGAUCCAGAGGGUUGGAGCCCAGUGUGUCGGGACCCAGUGUAUCGGGUCAGGGGCUUUUCCUAACCAAGUGACCUGAUCAGGAAUGUAUUCUCUCUCUCUCUAUCAACAUGUUAAAUGUGCAACCAGAGGAAAAUAAACUCUGGACCACCUUUACUUUAUACACAGAGAUGCAUACAAAGCUCUCC